rnacentral:rRNA from 1 species
GACGAACGCUGGCGGCGUGCUUAACACAUGCAAGUCGAGCGGAGCGGCGAACGGGUGAGUAACGCGUGAGUAACUGCCCCCCUCUCUGGGAUAACAGUUGGAAACGGCUGCUAAUACCGGAUAGUGGGGGAUGACUCGCGUCCUAUCAGCUUGUUGGGGGGGUAGUGGCCUAACAAGGCGACGACGGGUAGCCGGACUGAGAGGGCGACCGGCCACAUUGGGCUGAGAUACGCCUCAAACGGCUACGGGAGGGAGCAGUGGGGAAGAUUGCACAAUGGGGGAAACCCUGAUGCAGCAACGCGCGUGCGGGAUGACGGCCUUCGGGUUGUAAACCGCUUUCGGUACAGAACGGGUAUGUGCAGAAGAAGCGCCGGCUAACUACGUGCCAGCAGCCGCGGUAAUUC